UACGUAGGGUGCGAGCGUUAAUCGGAAUUACUGGGCGUAAAGCGUGCGCAGGCGGUUCGUUGUGUCGGUGGUGAAAGCCCCGGGCUUAACCUGGGAAUGGCCGUCGAAACUGGCGAACUGGAGUGUGGCAGAGGGGGGGUGGAAUUCCGCGUGUAGCAGUGAAAUGCGUAGAGAUGCGGAGGAACACCGAUGGCGAAGGCAGCCCCCCUGGGCCUGACACUGACGCUCAGUGCACGAAAGCGUGGGGAGCAAACAGG
rnacentral:rRNA from 1 species